rnacentral:rRNA from 1 species
UACGAAGGGGGGCUAGCGUUGCUCGGAAUCACUGGGCGUAAAGGGCGCGUAGGCGGCCUUGUAAGUUGGGGGUGAAAUCCCGAGGCUCAACCUCGGAACUGCCUUUGAUACUGCAAAUCUCGAGUCCGGAAGAGGUGAGUGGAAUUCCUAGUGUAGAGGUGAAAUUCGUAGAUAUUAGGAAGAACACCAGUGGCGAAGGCGGCUCACUGUCCGGUACUGACGCUGAGGUGCGAAAGCCAGGGGAGCAA